AUAGGAAGCUUUCUGAAACCUUGAAUCAUUCAAACCAUCGAGGAAAGAAGAAAAUCCGUAGAGAAGAUUACGCUCAUAAUCAGUGAAGGAAGUCUUGAUCGAUUCAGAUCGAAAAUAGGAGUUCCUGCUUUCACUGAAGGAUAGAUGAAAGAAGGAAGACGAACGGCGGAGG